rnacentral:rRNA from 1 species
GUGUCAGCAGCCGCGGUAAUACGAACUGUGCGAACGUUAUUCGGAAUCACUGGGCUUACAGGGUGCGUAGGCGGCCGAACAAGUCAGGUGUGAAAGCCCUCGGCUCAACCGAGGAACUGCGCUUGAAACUGUUUGGCUCGAGUCAACUAGAGGUGCACGGAACUUCCAGUGGAGCGGUGAAAUGUGUUGAUAUUGGAAGGAACACCGGAGGCGAAAGCGGUGCACUGGGGUUGGUCUGACGCUGAGGCACGAAAGCCAGGGGAGCGAACGGGAUUAGAAACCCCCGUAGUCC